rnacentral:rRNA from 1 species
UACGCAGGGGCCUAGCGUUGUCCGGAUUUAUUGGGCGUAAAGAGCUCGUAGGCGGUUGAGUAAGUCGGGUGUGAAAACUCUGGGCUUAACCCAGAGCCGCCACUCGAUACUGCUCUGACUUGAGUUCGGUAGGGGAGCAGGGAAUUCCUAGUGUAGCGGUGAAAUGCGCAGAUAUUAGGAGGAACACCGGUGGCGAAGGCGCUGCUCUGGGCCGAAACUGACGCUGAGGAGCGAAAGCGUGGGUAGCAAACAGG